rnacentral:rRNA from 1 species
AACGAACGCUGGCGGCAUGCCUAACACAUGCAAGUCGAACGAGACCUUCGGGUCUAGUGGCGCACGGGUGCGUAACGCGUGGGAACCUGCCCUUAGGUUCGGAAUAACUCCCCGAAAGGGGUGCUAAUACCGGAUAAUGUCUUCGGACCAAAGAUUUAUCGCCUUUGGAUGGGCCCGCGUUGGAUUAGCUAGUUGGUAGGGUAGAAGCCUACCAAGGCGACGAUCCAUAGCUGGUCUGAGAGGAUGAUCAGCCACACUGGGACUGAGACACGGCCCAGACUCCUACGGGAAGCAGCAGUGGGGAAUAUUGGACAAUGGGCGAAAGCCUGAUCCAGCAAUGCCGCGUGAGUGAUGAAGGCCUUAGGGUUGUAAAGCUCUUUUACCCGGGAUGAUAAUGACAGUACCGGGAGAAUAAGCUCCGGCUAACUCCGUG